ensembl:lncRNA
GGCCUGGUAUAAAUUACUAUGACAAUGAAUGUCAGGUCCUAAUGGCUGCAGGGGUUGGAACAAAUGUGAACUUGGGACAGAAGACGCUCACAAUGGUGGGUAAGGGCCACCAAGAAUGGAGCCUCUCAUCUAGAAAAGGCUGCAGAAAAGACCAUUAGAGGACCUUUUCUAAAGGAAAGAAUAAAACAAAUCGAGGAGGAAAGAAUAAAAAAAAGAGGUGCUGGUAUGUAUCUAAAGCCCUGGUACAUGGAGCAGAGGGUUAGACGGGGGGUUUUAUACAUUUCCAUUUUUACAAUUAAGUAAUAUAGGAAACAAAUUGCAGUAGUGAGUGCAUGCACUUCAAGACUUUUUCACAAUGUAUUGUUGCUCGAUUUGUAGUGAAGAGAUUUGUUUCUGUUACAG